GUUUAACUUUCUCCUAAGUAACUGAUGGAAUAGAAAGUGUUUCCUUAUCGCUGUGAGAUAAGAAUACAGCAUCCUGCUACUUUCUAAAUACAAACCAGAAAUAUUUAUUGAAUGCUUCUGCUUUUAUGAAUUGUGACUGACAAUUUUGAGAUUCCUAUCUAGCAUUGGAGCUAUCCAUUGUUGAGAUUUUGUUUGUUCCUGAUAUAUUUAAACAGUUCCUCUUUAUUGUUCUUACUGGCUGCAGAUUUGUUGUGUUGGUACCUUUAAUUUCCUAUGGUAAUUUCCUUCACUGCUGUUAUAUAUGCAUCCACACUGUCAAAUCCAGAUUUGAGUCCAAAGUCCAAACCACCCAACCUUUAAUGAUUCCAGGCCCCGUUUUUGUCUCAGUUCAAUAUAAAUCAGCAGCUAUAAAGCUUGGAUCAGGGUUUAAUUUCUGAAUUUCACAACCCUUUCUCCCAAAUCCAGAAAAGCUGUUUCAGAGUUAUCUCUUAUUCGGUGGCUCUCAAUCUUUCAGCGUCAAGAGUAAGAAAUAAAAAUGCCCAUUUUUUUUUUUUUUCAUUUCUGUGAACAAGCCAUCCCACAGCUCUUUGUGCUAUGACAGAAAUAUCUGGAUCGGUUUUUGGGGGGCAGGUACAGCCCUCAGUGCAGAGGUGGAUGGGGCUGUCUGUCCUCUACUCCCAGGGAGGGCUGAGACCCAUUGCAGGACAGGCUGCAGAGGUCAGAGGACAUUGGAUAGCGACAGGACAAGGGGGAAUGGUUUUAAACUGGGACGGGGAAGGUUUAGGUUGGAUAUUAGGAAGAAGUUUUUCACACAGAGGGUGGUGACACACUGGAACAGGUUGCCCAAGGAGGUUGUGGAUGCCCCAUCCCUGGAGGCAUUCAAGGCCAGGCUGGAUGUGGCUCUGGGCAGCCUGGUCUGGUGGUUGCAGGGGGCUUGAAACUAGAUGAUCUUUGAGGUCUUUUUCAACCCAGACCAUUCUAUGAUUCUAUGAUUCUAUGAAAUGAAGAAUAUCUUCAUCAGCUCAUCUGUGCGAAUCCGUAGAUUACAACCAGAGAACUGUGUACAGUGGAGUGGUGACGUGAAUUCCCCAUCUAUGAAAAAGUUC
ensembl:lncRNA